rnacentral:lncRNA from 10 species
ACUCACUCAGGGUCACACGGCAAGUAAAUGGCAGAGUCCAGCUUCCAAUUCCAAAACCCAGCAGACUUCCUUUUCUCUGCUGGGCUCACCUCCCCAUUCCAAUCUGUGUAUGUAGAGGGGAAGGAUAAGGAUUCCAAGACAGGGAAGCUCACCUUGUAUUUCCAGGACCACUGAUGGGCUUUAGGCCUCAGAAGGGAAAGGAAGAGCAGUCUCCAAUUGCUCAAAGCAGGAAUUUGUGAACACAGAGAGAUCUUAUUUACUCAUGGGAUAAUUCCCAAAAGGAUUUAGUCUUUUUUACGUUUAAAAAAUGAAAGUCAAAAAUGAAGUGGAAAAUGGAAGGAGACAUUUUGGUCGUGGGGCGGGGGGAGUUGAGAGCCUUCUGUUGGAGACCCCGGAAGCAGGGCAAGGCAGGGGGUGGGAGGCAUACCCCAGGCUGGGAGGCCAGGACUGGUGAACAGGGGGCAUCUCUGCUCAGGACCAGCACCCUCUGCCCUCGGGCAGCAGCCAGCAGUGGCUGACACCAGCCAGGAGCCGGGCAGAGGCCAGACAGGUAAGGAGUGUGGCCAGGCUCUUCUGAAUCCUGGGGACAUCCUCACCU